rnacentral:rRNA from 1 species
UACGUAGGGUGCGAGCGUUGUCCGGAAUUAUUGGGCGUAAAGGGCUCGUAGGCGGUUUGUCGCGUCGGGGGUGAAAACACUGGGCUUAACUCAGUGCUUGCUUCCGAUACGGGCAGACUAGAGGUAUGCAGGGGAGAACGGAAUUCCUGGUGUAGCGGUGAAAUGCGCAGAUAUCAGGAGGAACACCGGUGGCGAAGGCGGUUCUCUGGGCAUUACCUGACGCUGAGGAGCGAAAGUGUGGGGAGCGAACAGG